rnacentral:rRNA from 1 species
UACGGAGGGUGCAAGCGUUGUCCGGAUUUAUUGGGUUUAAAGGGUGCGUAGGUGGCCUUAUAAGUCAGUGGUGAAAGCCUGUCGCUCAACGAUAGGACUGCCAUUGAUACUGUAGGGCUUGAGUAUUGAUGAGGUAGGCGGAAUUGAUAGUGUAGCGGUGAAAUGCAUAGAUAUUAUCAAGAACACCGAUUGCGUAGGCAGCUUACUAAGGAAUAACUGACACUGAGGCACGAAAGCGUGGGGAUCAAAC